rnacentral:rRNA from 1 species
UAGGGAAUCUUCCACAAUGGGCGAAAGCCUGAUGGAGCAACGCCGCGUGAGUGAUGAAGGUUUUCGGAUCGUAAAACUCUGUUGUUAGGGAAGAACACCCGAGAGAGGAUCUCGGACUGACGGUACCUAACGAGAAAGCCCCGGCUAACUACGUGCCAGCAGCCGCGGUAAUACGUAGGGGGCAAGCGUUGUCCGGAUUUACUGGGUGUAAAGGGCGCGCAGGCGGGAUAAAAAGUCAGUGGUGAAAUCCUACAGCUUAACUGUAGAACUGCCUUUGAUACUUUUAUUCUUGAGUUCGGGAGAGAGAGACGGAAUUCCAGGUGUAGUGGUGAAAUACGUAGAUAUCUGGAAGAACACCAGUUGCGAAGGCGGUCUCUUGGUCCGACACUGACGCUGAGGCGCGAAAGCGUGGGGAGCAAACA